AUUGAACGCUGGCGGCAUGCCUUACACAUGCAAGUCGAACGGCAGCACGGGGCAACCUGGUGGCGAGUGGCGAACGGGUGAGUAAUGCAUCGGAACGUACCUUUCAGUGGGGGAUAACGUAGCGAUAGUUACGCUAAUACCGCAUAUUCUGUGAGCAGGACAGCAGGGGAUCGCAAGACCUUGCGCUGAUUGAGCGGCCGAUGUCAGAUUAGCUAGUUGGUGAGGUAAAGGCUCACCAAGGCGACGAUCUGUAGCGGGUCUGAGAGGAUGAUCCGCCACACUGGAACUGAGACACGGUCCAGACUCCUACGGGAGGCAGCAGUGGGGAAUUUUGGACAAUGGGCGCAAGCCUGAUCCAGCCAUGCCGCGUGAAUGAAGAAGGCCUUCGGGUUGUAAAGCUCUGUCACUGGGGAGAAAACGCUUUGAGUUAAUAGUUCAAAGCCUGAUUUAACCCGGAGAGGAAGCAGUGGCUAACUCUGUGCCAGCCGCCGCCGUAAUAC
rnacentral:rRNA from 1 species